rnacentral:pre_miRNA from 1 species
ACCAUGUUGUAGUGUGUGUAAACAUCCUACACUCUCAGCUGUGAGCUUAAGGUGGCUGGGAGAGGGUUGUUUACUCCUUCUGCCAUGGA